UGAGCUGGCCGAGGCAAUCGCUAUUUAUUUUUUUUAUAGAUAGAGGAAAGUCCGGGCUCCAUAGGACAAAGUGCCAGGUAACUCCUGGGAGGUGAAAGCCUACGGAUUAGUGCCACAGAAAACAAACCGCCUUGUUAUUUAUAUAGAUACUGGGUAAGGGUGAAAAGGUGCGGUAAGAGCGCACCGCGUGACUGGUAACAGUUGCGGCAUGGUAAACCCCACUUGGAGCAAGACCAAAUAGGAGCUUUAAAAUAUUUUUUUAAAUAUUUAAGUGUGGUCCACACUAAAAGCUCGGGUAGGUUGCAUGAGGUGUUUGGUGACAAACAUCCUAGAUAAAUGAUUGUCCACGACAGAACCCGGCUUAUUGGCUAGCUCUCUUU
rnacentral:RNase_P_RNA from 1 species